rnacentral:rRNA from 1 species
AUGAACGCUGGCGGCGUGCCUAAUACAUGCAAGUCGAGCGAACGGACGAGAAGCUUGCUUUUCUGAUGUUAGCGGCGGACGGGUGAGUAACACGUGGAUAACCUACCUAUAAGACCGGGAUAACUUCGGGAAACCGGAGCUAAUACCGGAUAAUAUUUUGAACCGCAUGGUUCAAAAGUGAAAGACGGUCUUGCUGUCACUUAUAGAUGGAUCCGCGCUGCAUUAGCUAGUUGGUAAGGUAACGGCUUACCAAGGCAACGAUGCAUAGCCGACCUGAGAGGGUGAUCGGCCACACUGGAACUGAGACACGGUCCAGACUCCUACGGGAGGCAGCAGUAGGGGAUCUUCCGCAAUGGGCGAAAGCCUGACGGAGCAACGCCGCGUGAGUGAUGAAGGUCUUCGGAUCGUAAAACUCUGUUAUUAGGGAAGAACAUAUGUGUAAGUAACUGUGCACAUCUUGACGGUACCUAAUCAGAAAGCCACGGCUAACUACGUG